CCUACGGGAGGCUGCAGUCGAGAAUCAUUCACAAUGGGGGAAACCCUGAUGGUGCGACGCCGCGUGGGGGAAUGAAGGUCUUCGGAUUGUAAACCCCUGUCAUGUGGGAGCAAAUUAAAAAGAUAGUACCACAAGAGGAAGAGACGGCUAACUCUGUGCCAGCAGCCGCGGUAAUACAGAGGUCUCAAGCGUUGUUCGGAAUCACUGGGCGUAAAGCGUGCGUAGGCUGUUUCGUAAGUCGUGUGUGAAAGGCGCGGGCUCAACCCGCGGACGGCACAUGAUACUGCGAGACUAGAGUAAGGGAGGGGGAACCGGAAUUCUCGGUGUAGCAGUGAAAUGCGUAGAUAUCGAGAGGAACACUCGUGGCGAAGGCGGGUUCCUGGACAGUAACUGACGCUGAGGCACGAAGGCCAGGGGAGCGAAAGGGAUUAGAUACCCGAGUAGUC
rnacentral:rRNA from 1 species